UGCAGCCAGUGCUGAUUUUCCAUAUAAUCCAGGACAAGGCCAAGCUAUAAGAAAUGGAGUCAACAGAAACUCGGCUAUCAUUGGAGGCGUCAUCGCUGUGGUGAUUUUCACCAUUCUCUGCACCUUGGUCUUCCUCAUCCGCUACAUGUUCCGCCACAAGGGCACCUACCACACCAACGAAGCAAAGGGAGCGGAGUCAGCAGAGAGCGCCGAUGCAGCCAUCAUGAACAACGACCCCAAUUUCACAGAGACCAUUGAUGAGAGCAAAAAGGAAUGGCUCAUCUGAGGGGUGGCUAUUUGGCUAUGGGAGAGGGAGGGGCGAGUUAUUAGGGAGGAGGGAAAGGGACAAAAGCACCCUACUUCAUACUCUUGAGCACAUCCUGAAAAUAUCAGCACAAGUUGGGGGAGGCAGGCAACAGAAAAUUCUGGAGAUGGAUCGCCACACACACACAAAAAAAUACUUUUUAAUAUUUCUUUAUAGCUGAGUUUCCCCUUCUAUAUCAACUCAAAAUAAUACAAAAAAAAUGCUUUUAGAGUUUAAGAAAUGGUUGAAAUUUGUAGGUAAUGUGUCUUAUUUUGUGUGUGUUUAGAGGUGUUCUGAAAACCCAUGGUAACAGGGCAAGUUUUCUACAUUUUUAAGAGCCCUUAGAAUGUGGAUAUUUUUUCUUGAGAAAAGCUGAUGCACAUGGCCUCCAGCAUUCUCUUCCUUUUGCAUAUAGUCAGUUUUUAAUGGGCUAUCGUAGUAACUAGUUCGUAUUCAUACAGUAUUUCUUUUGGUGUCCUGUAAAUUGGAAAGGGAAAGGAAGGGCCAAAGAGAACCUAUUAUUUGCCAGUUUUUGAAGAGCCUUCAAUCUGUGCCAAUUCUCUGAGAGUUCCCGCCUGAAACAGUUGAAGGAAGAGAGCAUAUGGGCCCCUGCUGUGUAACAAAAGAACCAACACAACAGAGAGAAGCAUUAAGAACCAGGGCAAGUAGUUUUGUAUUGGGAUUGUUGGUUUUAUCUUUCAUCAAAUUCUGCAAGCUAAUACUGUUCCUUGUGUGUAGUCCUAGACCUAUUGACUAUCUGUGACUGUCAGCUAUAAUCCAGUGGUGAUCAGCUGUUACAAAAGAUUUCUCCUCUGCUUUAUUUGCAACAUGUUAGGUUACAUUGUAUGUGUGUGGGGUGGGGGGUGGGAACCUCAGUGGGGAAUUAGAGCCAGAUGUUACGAUUUGUUUGCUCUGUUUCUUUUAUAGUUGCAGCAAGAGUAUGGACACUUUCUAGUGAAUGCAUAAAUUAGGUUGCUCUUCUUAGUUUGCUUUAAAUCUCUAGUUUUGAAGCCCCUGUGACAAAAUCCUAGCAGACCAGGUCCUCUGAAUGGACAUACCACAAUAAAGCCAAUGCUUGCUAUCAUUAUUGCUUUACUCUGAAUCAUAUGGAAAACACUGCCAUAUUUUACAUCAUCUACUCCAUAUACUACUGCUCCAUCCUAAAUAGACACACUGCCAUGAUUCAGGGACUUCUUUGGCAGAUACAUUUGAACCUCAGGUUUAUCACAAACCUGAUAACUGAUUGUUGCUUCUCAGAGAAUGGACACACGUAGAUAGCCACACUUCAGUCUAAUCAGGAAUCUUGACCAACUUAUUCUAACAAAUAACUCCUUGAUUUUAUUUUUAAAUGAUAGACUUUGUAUGUAAACAAAUGGGACAAAGCUCCUUUGGGAGCAUCCAAAAAAAAAAUUUCAUUUAUUUAUUUGUAAAAAUUACACAAAAGUUAUGUCUAGAAUGACUAUGAUUUAUGAUCAUUAUAUUCAGGCUCUUAAUAAGUACUUUUAAAAAAUUUUUUUAGACUCCAACAUUUUGAGGAAUUAAAAAGGAUCCCUUUUUUCCUUCUCCUCCUGGAAUGGGGUAAGAUGAGGUUAAAAAGGUAUUGUUGCUAUUUUUCUGACCGUGUGCCUCAAUGAAAUGGAAAUUCUAGUUUGUUAGGGUUAUAUAUACAUAUUUUUCAAAAUUCUCAGUAUGCCUAACUUAUUGGAGGAGCUCAGCUUCUUGGGUGAUGAAAAAUGUUAUCUAGAGUUGCCAAGCAUGUUGUACACAUUCCAGAGGAGAUACUGAACCGGUUAAUUCCCAUUAGAGUCAAGGUAACAGAACCAAAGGGAAUUCCCUUUUAUAGUUGCUGACCUCAGCCACAAUCAUGAACACCCUUAACUGAAAAAGGUCUUGAUCAUCAUUCCAUAUACAUUGUUAAAUGAAAAGUAUGUGGUAUGACUAAACAGCUGAACAAUAUAACUUUUACAAAUGACAUAUUCAAAACCAAGGCUAUUUAUUUAACCAAGAUGACUACCAAGAAGGGUUCUUUCAUGUAUGGUCAAAUUACAGAAGCAAAUUUUAAACAUUAUGCUUAGUAGGAAUGUUUCUGAUUUUUCAAACCUAUUUUAUAGGUUAUUACUUUUACACUUAACCAAUAAUGCCAGAUGGAAAUUGAGUACUUCGUGCAUUUCCCAUGAUAGCUUUAAUCUUUACGCAUUGUCUCUGCACUUUCCCUUUCUUCCCAAAGUGAUUAAGGGGUCAAAACAAUCAAAAACAACCCCUGACACUAAAAUGUUCUCACGCUUUCUCUUCACUCUCUUCUUCCCAUUUUCCUGCCACAAAAGGUGAAAAAUAAAAACCAACACUUCUCUCACCAAAUUUGCAAACCCAGGGCACUGGAAUGACUAGAGGGAUCAGUGGGUCUCCCAUGUCACCAUCUUUAAGACAUACAUAUGACACAGUCUUUCCCUUUUGGGGGGUAACAGUCUGGCCAGCAGACAAGACACCAAAAGGUGGAUAAGGUAUUAAGUAACUCAGUUAAGUGCCAAGUGAGUGCUGGAAAUCCUCGGCUUCUCUUUGGAAUUGUGGUCUUCACCAAAAGUCCUAAGUGUCUCUGUGAAGGCCAUAUCCAGUACAUUCUAAAUGGUAAAUAAUUUAUGUGAAAUAGGGAAGCAUCUCUUUUUUCCAGCUCCCUCCCUUGAAAGCUCAGCACAGUGCAGCCUGGACAGCCAUGACAUUGUGACCCAGGCUCAGUGCCUGAUCUUGCUUUGUCAAUCAUAUCCCGCACGGUCUUGACCUCUUCUAUCCCAGGACAUGAUCAACCAAGUCCAAAGAGGCUGGUGGUAGCCUUUUUAUAUAAUAAGAACAGACUAAACAAAAACCAAAAAAGAAAAAUUUUUAGAAACAGGAGGCUGCUGUGAAGUUUCAGGAGAAGCUGAUGGCUGAUUGAGGGCGAUUUGUGCAGGGAACAUCCUCUGUGUAUAAAGCAAGCAUCUGUGUUUUGAGAAGGUAGGAGCAGGACUUUGAAAGCAAGAUCGAUGCCGUUCUCAGCUCUCAAAAUAACGUAUUCCCUAGACCCCAAGGAAACUAGCUCAGGAGGUGAGAAGUUAUAUUGUCAAGUUCUUCUCUGAACCUUCUUAAUUCAGAAGGCUAUGUUUCCCCUUGUGACUUUCAACCAACUGCUCGAAAAAAGAGAGAGAGGAAGACUUGUUCUGUGGAAGUUUUUAAUAAGAAGCUAGAAACAAGGGUUUGGAGUGCCUUUGUUGGACAAUUUCCCAUUGCCCUGCGUUUGCUACACAAGCAUCCUUCACUGACAGGAGCAGGGAUUCAGAGGCACAGGAAAAAGAAUUUGCAUGAGCCAAAGAGGAGAUCUUAGGUUAUUGCUGAAGGUCUGUGGAGCAGCCCCCAGAUGCCAGCAGAAAGCUGGGCACCAAGACAAACCAUAGGAAGCAGCUACGGACAAAGUAGCUACCGGAUAUGAAAACGCGGUGUUAGUGUUUGUCCAGAAGAAACUUUUACCUCCUUCUAUAACAGGAUCUGUUCUUUUCAAUCCUCCCACUUGCUCUUUUUCUCCCUUUGUUUCUUUUGUGGUGUAAACAUUUUAAUGGUCCCUUUGUGCCUCCAAACAAUAAGCACCUUGUUUAAACCUCUUAUAUUGUUUCCUUUUCAUCAUCCCACCAAGCAGUUACUAAAUUGAAUUCCAGUUAGCCCGCCAAAAUAGGUCCUAAAUUACUAGGGGCAGUAGAACCAACUGAUCCUGAAACAGAGGAGAAACAAACAGCGUGUCUAGCUGACUUGGGCUAAAACCAAUGGGUGCCAUGUUUAAAGUGAUGUCUUGGUGAGGGUGGACCCUGAGAAUCAGCUGUUAGAGUCCUAACCCUUCCUCUCUCCCUGACUUGCUACGUGACCUUGGUCAAGCCACUGAACCUCAGUCGCUCUUUGCCCUGUUUUGAAGAUACAACUGUUUUGCCUACUUAAUAAGACAAAUUGUGAGGUGCCAUUGCUUCUUGAGGGCAGCAUACUUUGACACCCACAUAUAAAGGCCCAAGUCGAUAGAGCCUACUGAAAGACUUACUUUCUGGCCUGUGGUUCUUAGUCCCACCAAAGAGACAAUGUGGCCACAUCUGGAAGUGUACAGAUUUAGGAGACAGUUGCUGUACAACUGUUCAGUUAUUAAUCAAGGAGACUGCCCAAGAGCUAACCUGUCAGCCCUCGGAGAUGCAACAGCCAAAGGCCAGAGAAAUCAGAACUUCGCAUGCACAAAGUCUGUGGUUCCCGCCCAGAUGUGACAGACAGCUUACGUCUCCGGUGCCACUGGGUCAGCUUGCACAUAAGACAACAUGAGAAACAAGAAUGAUUUUUUUCGCGUAGCCUGGUGGCACCGUGCCUACGCUACACAUACCCUGCAUGAUAAUGUUGGUGACUCUAGAAUAGAUUUCUUUCACAGCAGUAUUUUCUGAUACCAAUGGUACAUAAAACUCAUUGUCAACAAAAUAGGGAAACUGGAUUAAAAAGUUGAUUGUCUCCCGUGGAGCAAAGACCGGCAGAAGGUAGUGAAGAUACCUGAGCACACGGGCAUUUCAUAUCCAAGGCGCAUUUACAAGUUCACUUUCCAGGUGAGAAUGUGCUUUAAGGGCAGGUCUACGCAGAUGGUCUGCAACGUUUCCGAGGCUCAGUUUAUUUUAAACAGCAACUGCUGGGUUCUAACGUGGCUAGGAAGACAUACCCUUAAGUGGGCCAAGAUACCGUUCAGAUGUUACUGAUUCUGAGUUCAUUUGGGUUUUUGUUUUGUUUUUUUUUUUCAGUGAGCAUGUGACUGCGGAGGUCAGGGUUACAGAAAGCUGGGCUAAGUAUUCUUCCUGUAAAGUCGAUUAGGAUUCCACCCUGUGAAAUGACACAAAAGUUCACUCUCUAAAAGCAAGAGCAUGUAACAUAGAAUGACAGAAGGAAACUAUGUAUGUAUGCCUAAUAUUCUUUGUGAAUGUCUUUCAUUUAACUGAAACUAUAUUAGAAACCAGAUUGAUAAAUAAAAACUCCAAAAUAGUUUUAA